rnacentral:lncRNA from 1 species
UGUCCCUGGAGCCAAGUCUCACCGGGCUGCUGGCUUUGUCGAUAAUUUUCCGACGUCGAAGUCCCCCUGAUCGGCCACCUCCAGGCUCCCGCAUGCCCAUGUGUGUUCCCUGGGUCAAGCGUCGCCUGGUCGGUAAUUAUCUGGCGUUAAAACUCUCAUGUCGGUGGCCCUACUUCCGCGACUUCCAGCGUCAGGUCGGUAGUUUACCGACAGGAAAAUCGCUGCGCUCUCAUAUGCUUCCC